rnacentral:lncRNA from 1 species
CUAUACAAAAGUAAGGAAAGAAGUUACCCGAUUGAUCGUGGUUGCUCUAAUUGCUAAUGAUAGGUGUUUCCUUUGAUCGUGUGAAUUUCAAAUUGUUUGUGUCUCUUUCGUGUUGGGUUUUUACCUAGAAAACUUAAACAAAACAAACUAAAAAUCUACUUAUUAAUCUGACCCAUACAAAGUUUAAAUUAAAUUCAUCAAAAAUUAAUACAAGUCUUUAUAAAAUUAAAAUAGUUCAAUCCUCCUCCUCAUCCAUUUCCUCACUCCCAUCAUUCUCUUCAUCUUCUCCUU